rnacentral:rRNA from 1 species
UGGGGAAUAUUGGACAAUGGGCGCAAGCCUGAUCCAGCCAUGCCGCGUGAGUGACGAAGGUCUUCGGAUUGUAAAGCUCUUUUGGCGGGGACGAUAAUGACGGUACCCGCAGAAUAAGCCCCGGCUAACUUCGUGCCAGCAGCCGCGGUAAUACGAAGGGGGCUAGCGUUGUUCGGAAUUACUGGGCGUAAGGCGCACGUAGGCGGACUGAUAAGUCAGGGGUGAAAUCCCGGGGCUCAACCUCGGAACUGCCUUUGAUACUGUUAGUCUCGAGUCCGGAAGAGGUGAGUGGAAUUCCUAGUGUAGAGGUGAAAUUCGUAGAUAUUAGGAAGAACACCAGUGGCGAAGGCGGCUCACUGGUCCGGUACUGACGCUGAGGUGCGAAAGCGUGGGGAGCAAACAGGAUUAGAUACCCACGUAGUCCCUGAGCGGGCUGGCAAGGCGCAU